AGUGAACGCUGGCGGUAGGCCUAACACAUGCAAGUCGAACGGCAGCACAGUAAGAGCUUGCUCUUACGGGUGGCGAGUGGCGGACGGGUGAGGAAUACAUCGGAAUCUACUUUUUCGUGGGGAUAACGUAGGGAAACUUACGCUAAUACCGCAUACGACCUACGGGUGAAAGCAGGGGAUCUUCGGACCUUGCGCGAUUGAAUGAGCCGAUGUCGGAUUAGCUAGUUGGCGGGGUAAAGGCCCACCAAGGCGACGAUCCGUAGCUGGUCUGAGAGGAUGAUGAGCCAGAAUGGGAAUGUGAGACGGUACAGACUCAUACGGGAGGCAGCAAGGGAGAAUAUUGGACGAUGGGCGCAAGGUUGUACCAGCCAUACCGCGGAAGUGAAGAAGGGCUUCGGGUUGUAAAGCCGUUUUGUUGGGAAAGAAAAGAAACAAGUUGAUACCCCGCUGGUCUGACGGUACCCAAAGAAUAAGCACCAGCUAACUUCGUG
rnacentral:rRNA from 1 species